UGGUGUAUAAAAAUAGGAAUGGACAUGUUAUUGAGCUGAAUGUAGAAACAAAUACAACCACAUUAUUAUUGGAAAAUACAACUUUUGUAACUUUCAAAGCAUCCAGAUAUUCAGUUUCACCAGACUUAAGGUUUGUUCUGCUCGCGUACGACGUUAAACAGGUUUUUCAUUAUUCUUACACAGCUUCAUAUGUGAUUUAUAACAUACACACAAGGGAAGUUUGGGAGUUAAACCCUCCAGAAGUAGAGGAUUCAGUUUUACAGUAUGCAGCAUGGGGUAUCCAAGGACAGCAACUG